GAUGAACGCUAGCGGCAGGCUUAACACAUGCAAGUCGAGGGGUAGGAGCAGCUUGCUGCUUUGAGACCGGCGCACGGGUGCGUAACGCGUAUACAAUCUACCUUUUACAGAGGGAUAGCCCAGAGAAAUUUGGAUUAAUACCUCAUAGUAUUUUCGAAUGGCAUCAUUUGAUUAUUAAAGUUCCAACGGUAAAAGAUGAGUAUGCGUCCCAUUAGCUAGAUGGUAAGGUAACGGCUUACCAUGGCAACGAUGGGUAGGGGUCCUGAGAGGGAGAUCCCCCACACUGGUACUGAGACACGGACCAGACUCCUACGGGAGGCAGCAGUGAGGAAUAUUGGACAAUGGGCGCAAGCCUGAUCCAGCCAUGCCGCGUGCAGGAAGACGGUCCUAUGGAUUGUAAACUGCUUUUAUACAGGAAGAAACACCUCUACGUGUAGAGAC
rnacentral:rRNA from 1 species